rnacentral:rRNA from 1 species
UACGUAGGGUGCGAGCGUUGUCCGGAAUUAUUGGGCGUAAAGAGCUCGUAGGCGGUUUGUCGCGUCGAAUGUGAAAACCCGGGGCUCAACCCCGGGCCUGCAUUCGAUACGGGCAGACUAGAGUUCGGUAGGGGAGUCUGGAAUUCCUGGUGUAGCGGUGAAAUGCGCAGAUAUCAGGAGGAACACCAGUGGCGAAGGCGGGUCUCUGGGCUGAUACUGACGCUGAGGAGCGAAAGCGUGGGGAGCGAACAGG